rnacentral:lncRNA from 1 species
AUCAGCGCCAUCUUGUAAUGGCGAUUGCAAGGGCGGCUCCUCACACUUAAGUCUUUAUGGUCAGCCCAAUAUUCAUGCUGUGCUUCCUUGUGAAAAUACAUGAUCAUGAAAAUAUCUCUUAAAUUUUAAAAAACUGGAAUCAUUUCUAUACCUCACAGUCAGGAUACCAACACUGGACAAUGAAUUUGAGUUUAGUUUUUUGUUUGUUUGUUUGUUUGUUUCUGUACUUAUAGAAACUCUGAAGACCAAAAUGGAGCAGGAUUUCUGGAAAAUUCAUCUUAACUUGAAGAUCUGAGCAUCUGUGUCAUGCUGAUGUGAAUAUCAUACCAAGAGGAUUUAUGCAGACACUCUGGUGGACCAUCCAGACAGGCUGUUUCAGGCUUCUAUGCCAAUUUUUAGUUGACGUGAAUAUCACAUUUUGAAGAACUAUGUUUUCUGGCAAGAGAUUAAAAACCUUAUAGUGCACGUUAAACAAAGAUUAUAUGUUGAAGCAUCUGCCUCUUCUUGAGAAAAUAUAGUGAAGAAGGAGAAAAAAGGUUGAGGUUUUAAUUUUUAACAUCUAAAAAUGAUUUAAGACUAACUCAGUAAUGGUUUUUUUAUUUAACAAGAAAAAUAUAACAAUACAUAAAUAUAUAUUCUGUUGACUUUGUUUUAUACUGCGUUUACU